GUGACGGACACAAUAACCACGCUACAGAACCAAGGAAACAGAAAGGACGAUUAUGAAGUAUUUACGGACGUUGACAGUCUUUCUGCUGUUGGUCAUACAUACGUGUAUACCAGAUGGAAUGGCUUCAACGUCACACUGCCCGGACUCCGUCUGUUUCUGUCGGGUUUUGGACACCGCAGACUGCUCUUACAGAAAUCUCAGCAAUAUACCAAGUGGUCUCCCAGCCUCGAUUCGAACCAUUGAGAUCACUAGAGAUGUUGGAUCUUUCCAGUAAUAAGUUAUACAACGCCAUGUUAGAUGAAUGUACUGAGAAACUGGGGUACUCGACCCUUAAGGUUUUGAACCUGUCGGAAAAUUUGUUGUUUACUUUAGACGCUAUAUAUAAUUUUUUGGAAAACAAAUGGUUUUCAAAUUUGACAGACCUUAUUAUGCAACAAAGUCAGGUUAGAAAAGUGGAAAUGAAGAGUUUAAAAAAUCUUCUUUAUCUGCAAACACUUGAUUUGAGCCAAAACGCCAUAGAACAAUUUUCUUCAUAUGGAUUGCCGACUCUAAAAACUAUGGAUCUGUCAUCGAACUCCCUUCCAGAAUUCCCGAGGCCUUGCAAUGGUUCAAAUAAUCCUUUUUAUCCGAAAUUAGAGAACCUAUUUCUCCGCAGAAAUCGAAUCUCGGAGACCUAUUUACUCGAAGAUUACGGACAUUGCUUAACAGCUUUGGUCAAAUUAGAUCUUUCUCUGAAUCCCAUAAAGAUUAUUCUGCCAUUUGCUUUUGUAUAUUUUAAGGAUUUGACAUAUCUAUAUUUAGAACAGCUUUUGGGUGUCAUAGAAGUGAACAAGUUUGCUUUUGCAACCCUAAAUCUACGAGAGCUUUCGAUAGGAAACGCUGUAAAGGGAUACAUGAAUGUGGUUGAUUUUUAUACUUUUCUUCUUUACAAUCCCUUUUUGAAAAAUCUAACACUGAAUAACAUUAAUCUAUCUCUUGUAAACACAUCAAGGAUGCUUUCUAAGCUGACUAAUCUAACUUCCCUGUCUAUCCUAAACUGUGACAUACAAAACGUCCCCACCAUAACAAAUCUUCCAUUGCUAUCGUCGAUUGAUAUGAGCUUUAAUUCAAUUCAGUCUCUGCAUGCUGAAGCCUUUCAAUUCCUGGGCAAAUUAAAGUAUAUCUCUUUAAAGAGUAAUGCGCUUACAUCCGUUACACUUGAAUCUUUACCAAGAGUUCUCUGGGAUACGAGUGAUGUUUUGAUUGAUCUCUCAUCAAACCCCUUCGAUUGUGUCUGUAGUUUGGAGUGGUUCAAGUUAUGGUAUGAGAACAAUAUGAAUAGAACAUCCGGCAACGCCUCUCUGUACACAUGUAACACGCCCACACAAUGGCAGGAGGUUCCCCUCGUCGACUUUGAUACUGCUGACUGCCAUGAGCUGAAUCAAUACGUGGUGAUGGCCCUUAUUAUAGCCGGUGUGUUAUGCCUUGUCGCACUCUCCGUUAUCGUAGUCAGGAGAUACAGAUGGGAUAUAAAGUAUUAUAUACAUGCAUGCAAGUACAACAAACUCACUUCUCCGCCGGUAAACUUGCGCGACGACUUCCUCUACGAUGGCUUCGUCGCAUACAACACACGUGACCGGAAAUGGAUCAUGGCGGAACUGGUCGAACACGUAGAAAGGAAACAUAACUAUAAACUCUGUCUGCACGAGAGAGAUAUCAUUCCAGGCGGGGUGUAUGUCGAAGAUGUUCUCGAAAGUAUAGAUUUCAGUAGAAAGUUCAUACUGGUUCUUUCGAACAACUUCAUGGAUGACCAGUGGGGCAGAUACGAGACAGCAAUUGCGAGUCAUACUUUGGCGGAAGGGGGUGGUGGCAAACUGUUUCUCAUUUUACUGGAGGACAUCCGCUCUGAAUACAUCACCAGGUCCCUGAAGGUCUUGCUAAAAUCUAUCGGACAUGCUGAAUGGACAAAAAAUAAAAAUGGACAAAAAAUCUUCUGGAAUAACGUUGUACAGAAUUUAGAAAAAUCCGAAAAAUAAUUGGGUUUUCUUUUUUCACAAUUUAAAAUUUCUCUGUGGAAUAACUAGUUUUGACAUCCGCCACAUUGUGACGCUAACCAAUCGUGUUGUACGAUAGAAGGAAAUGUUAUGGUAAACAAAUAAACCAUUAGGGUU
rnacentral:misc_RNA from 1 species